GAUCAUGGCUCAGGACGAACGCUGGCGGCGUGCCUAACACAUGCAAGUCGAGCGGGGACAUUUAACAGAACGGAAGUUUCGGACGGAAGGGAAGAUAAGUGUUCUAGCGGCGGACGGGUGAGUAACGCGUGAGCAACCUGUCCUUCACAGGGGGAUAACACAGCGAAAGUUGUACUAAUACCGCAUAAGACCACGGUACCGCAUGGUGCAGGGGUCAAAGGAGGAAUCCGGUGAAGGGUGGGCUCGCGUCCGAUUAGAUAGUUGGUGAGGUAACGGCCCACCAAGUCAACGAUCGGUAGCCGACCUGAGAGGGUGAUCGGCCACAUUGGGACUGAGACGCGGCCCAAACUCCUACGGGAGGCAGCAGGUGGGGAAUAUUGGGCAAUGGGGGGAAACCCCCUGACCCAGCAACGCCGCGUGAGGGAAGAAGGUUUUCGGAUCGUAAACCUCUGUCCUAGGUGAAGAGGAAGAGACGGUAGCCUAGGAGGAAGCCCCGGCUAACUACGUGCCAGCCGCUGC
rnacentral:rRNA from 1 species